AGGAUUCCAGCCGGGAUAAUCCCAGGAACAGAGGAGCCUGGCAGACUACCAGUCCAUAGGCUUGCAAGAGUUGGACACGAUUUAGCGACUAAACAACAACUGGUAGAAGAGUAACCAUUCCUACAGAUUAAUGACAAAUCAGUGACAACAAACAGAACACAAAGAAAAGCAGAGCAGGUGAGGAAACGUUACUGCCAAAAUUCCGGGCUGCUUCUGGAAAUUACCCAGUCAUGCAGACGCAGAACUUGGACUCCGCUCCACAAGAGGGCGCUGCAAAACCGGUUGCGCGGGAUCCAGUCCGGGCAACGCCGCUCUAGGCCGCAAGCCCCGCUUCAACUGCAUUUCCGCCGUCGCUGUGCGUGUGGAGGUGGUUCUUGCCUCUUUGUCCACGGUUCGUCGUGGAUCCCGCGCCAUCUGCACGUAUCCGGGGACAUCCGCGGACACCGGUAUCUUCCCGCACUGUCGGCUUUGUCUCCGCCGCUCUCCCGCGCCGUCUGGUCGUGGGGCACCCCGGACACUUCCUGGUGGUUGAUGUCAGUUGACUGCCCUCUGCCUGGCUCAGUGCUGGUUUCUGUGAGGCUUUGGGAAAGCAUGUGGGAGUGUCACGUGGCUGCAUUGGGUGAGAGGUGUCCUCGGGGAGAGCCGAGACUGAGACCCAGAUGGGUCUGUGUGCACAGAGGUUCCAUGGGAGGCAUCUUCAUGCCAGCCAGCCGCUAG
ensembl:lncRNA